AACGUAGGACGCAAGCGUUAUCCGGAAUUACUGGGCGUAAAGGGCGGGCAGGCGGUCGGUCAAGUGGGGGGUGAAAGCUCUCAGCUUAACUGGGAGAGGCCAUUCCAAACUGACCGACUGGAGGGCAGUAGAGGUAGGCGGAAUUCCGGGUGGAGUGGUGAAAUGCGUAGAUAUCGGGAGGAACACCAGUGGCGAAGGCGGCUUUCUGGCCUGUUCUUGACGCUGAGGCGCGAAAGCUAGGGGAGCAAACGGG
rnacentral:rRNA from 1 species